UUUCUAUUUUCUUUGAGAACACUAGUAGUGGAAGUGCUGGGUCAUAUGGUUAAGGUUAUGCUUGACUAUUUGAGGAACUGCCCUACUCUUUUCCAAGGUGGCUACACCGUUUUACAUUCCCGCCAGCAAUGCCUGAUGGUUAAGAUGAUGUUUUGAGAUGCAUUCAUGACCCCUGUGACUAUAUAGUUCAUCCAGUUUAUGGCCACACUACACUUGAUGCAUUCUAUGGUUGAGGGUCAUUUGGGUUAUUUCCAGUUUUAUGCUGUUAUAUGCAACACUCUCAUGAACGCUUUCCUACAGGUCAUCUGGUGCACAUGUCAUGUGUAAGAAGUUUGGAGUCUGUGCCCAGAAGUGGAAUUGCUGGGUCAUAAGGAAUGCAGUGACACCCCAGGAUGCCGGCUAUGCAACAGGUUCAGGAGCUCCAGGAGGAAGUUUCUGCAAGCACAGGCUUGACCCCCUCCCCCAUUCCAAGCAAAGAAUUGAGAAAUUGUAAAUAUUUUGGAUGGCAAUUUUUCAAUAUGCGUCAAAAUCUUUAAAAGUUUCAUUUCGUAAAAUCAUGGGAAGGUGUACAAAGAUGAUUGAAUAAGGAUGUUGACUGAAUCAUUAUUUAUGUUAAAAAAGUGAUUAUUAACGAAUAAAGGAUUGGUUGAUGAA